GCGGGCGUAGCCGAACUGGUAUAGGCGCAUGCCUUAGGAGCAUGUGGGGCAACCCGUGGAGGUUCGAGUCCUCUCGCCCGCA
rnacentral:tRNA from 1 species